CAGUCCGUCCGACCGCCGGCCGACUGUUCUGGGCGCUCCUCCAGCUCGUCCGUCCUGGGCGUCGUGUCGUGGCCAACUGAGAACGUUGACUGACGAUGUUUAUGACGCGUUCCACGGAGAAGAUCACGCUCGGACUUCAGCCAUCGUAAGCUUAUUGGAAUCACGUGAGACGCAAUGAGACAACUCUGCCUUACUUCGAUCAGCUCAACUGAAAUGCAGUAUCUGACUUCCGGUCUUCGCUUCAUCCUUCCAGUACAAGCCGGUCAAUGAAGUAACGUAUCACAAUACCAACUCCAAGCAUGAUCGUUUCAUCACAUUCUGGAGAUUGGUUCCUCGCUGCAUCAGAAAUAAAUUCUGGGACUCCUUGUUCGACCGAACAUUCCUUUGCACUUGGAAGGCUUUCUCUCCUGUGCGGGUCCCAAGGUGAGUUUUUGUCAAC